GCUGUCUGUUUGCUCCCGCUGGUUAUCAUGGAUGUUAGGACUGUCUGCCCUCCAUCGCCAUCCCCAGAUGGAGAGAACAGAAAACUGAGAAGCGGAGGAGAGUGUGAAGCCACAGCCCAGGGAGCACCAGACAAUAAAAGGUAAGCGCAGGCAACAAGACCGUGUGAUCUGACUGAGGUUUCCAGGAAAAAGCAAAGGAUGAAAUGCUAGAGAGAGCUGGUAAUUGUGUGGGUGAGGGCUUGCUUGGCACUUAGGUUCUUAAUUUACCACAUAAAUUUACUUCUAUUAAGGUGGGCGGUGGUGGCUCUUUAAUCCCACUUUAAUCCCAGCACUUGGAAGACUCAGAGUUUCCAUAUUCUGAGCUCACUGAAUUAGCCUCGAUCCUAGAGAUGUUACCUUUGUGAUCAAGUUAUGUGAAGUUUCUUCCCAAAGGUGAAGAGAGGGUCAGAUAUCCUCCUGCUCCACAUAGUGGGUUGUCUGUCCCCUGACCUGCCUUGGUUUUUAGAAACAGGGUUUCUCUGUGUACCCUUGCUGUCCUAGAACUCUCUUUGUCGACCAGGCUGGCCUUAAACUCAGAGAUCUGCCUGCCUCUGCCUCCUCAGUGCUGGGAUUAAAGGCGUUCGCCAUCACUUCCUGCCCUUCCUGUGUUGUUCGGGUCUGGCUGCUUCUCUGUUUAGGGAAAAGCAACUAAGCACUUUUAUAUAACGGAGAUAUCCUCAGAGUGUGAAUGAAAUGGGCAGGUAGCUUCAGGGAGAACGGAGAGGGUCAAAAUUUGGUUGGAACUCAAAUGCUAACCUAUUAUCCACCUGGAAUUGGCAUCAAAUCCCACAGGCUGCCAAAUGUGGUGGUGUAAGGCGGUUUAUCCCAGCAUGUGGAGAGUGGAGGCUGUAGGGAGAGUUCAGAGUUACAGAGAGCGUUCUAGAUCAGCCACAGGCUAAGAUUCAGCCUCACAUAACGUCCUGGGUUUAGGUAUCACUCUAAGGUCCUUGGCUGCCGCUUCUAGCCAACUGGUUACAAAGUCAAGCUUUCUAACAAUUCUCCAAUCUCAAGCUUGAAAAUUCAUAAAUGUGGCUCCCACAGCUCAGAGGAGCACUUAUUGCCUGCGAGGCCCGCACCGGUGGUGCAGGAAGCCUGUCUCUACAGCGCCCUCUUUUGGAACAGCAUGGAUAUGGUUCCUGCUCAGCACAACAUUCGACUUUUUUUUUUUUAAAAAACAGUGGAAGUAGCCUAGGAGCUGUCUUUGCUGCUCUCUGCUGGUCACGAAUAGAACUGCCAAGAACUGCCUACGGCUGGAUUCUGCUAUGCCUCUGUGAUUUUUCUGACUCCCUGGGGAAUACUCCUAACGGGACCCCGAAAUUUGCAUCUUUUAGUCGUCUAGGGCUGGAAUGAUCUUGAGCUCUCAAAUGCAAGAUAGCAGUUCUCUUAAAGCCAGAUGUCCUCUGCGGUAUCCAAGGAAGCCAACCAAGUUCUGCUCCUCUGAACCCUAAGGGUUAGAUGUGCUUAUGUCUCACUCUUCCUCCGGAACCAGCCUGCUCCAGGAUAGUUUGCAGAAGGGCACAUUCCCCGCUACCAAGGCCGCCAUUCUGGUUCCAAAGCUGCAUCAUAGCCGUACCAGUACUUAUCCCUCAAGUCUGCUUCCAGAGACGUACUGGCUUUGAGAUGGACUAAAUCAGGGUGCAACCCGCACCCUCCAUAGUCACAGGUCCCUGGACAGGCAAGGGGAUGAAUCACAGAAAGCUGCAGAGGCCGACCUUGGGACGGAUCACCCUUAGCUUUGUUGGGCUGUACAGAAAAGGUGCAAACUCUUUGUAUUAACACCCUUGGUGUUACAGGCUCUGCUCCACCCUGCUAUUCAACUCACAAUACAGAGGAAGUAAAGGAUAACUUUAUUAGUGGACAAAUGUUCCCGUACUUGCACGUUUUUUUUUUUUUCUGAAAGUAAUUCAUUGAGUAAAAAGUUUGAAAGGAGUAAGACCUAAGAGAUUGUUAAGACUGAGUUCCAUAUUCUGGUGGUUUAAACUGACAGCUCACAAAACUUCCAGUAUCACUAAACCUUACACCGUGUGAGCUUCGUUUUGCUUCUCAGCAUCAGUCUCUCACAGAGAAUUCAGCUCUAUCAGUAUCUGGGUGUAUUUCUGCAUUUGCCGUAAGGAAUAGUGGACAAAGAGAAAGAAUUCUUGAGCCAGGCUUUUCUCUAGAAAACCUGGGUUCAAUUGCAAACACCACAUGGUCACUUAAACAACCAUCUCUGACUCCAGUCUCAUCUUGAGCCCUCUUCUGGCCUCUGCGGGUACUGCACACACAUGGUGCACAUACAUGCAGGUAAAAUACCCACACACAUAAAAGUACACUUUAAAAAAAAUAACAAAAUAAAAUAAAAUUGGGAAGUGUUGUGUU
rnacentral:lncRNA from 1 species